rnacentral:tRNA from 1 species
GCGCCCAUAGCUCAGCUGGAUAGAGCGUCUGGCUUCGAACCAGAGGGUCGGCGGUUCGAAUCCGUCUGGGCGUACCC